CUGAUCCUUUCGAUUGUUUUUUGGUUUCUAUUUCAUUUAUUUCUGCUCUAAUUUUUAUUAUUUCCCUCCUUCUGCUGACUUUUGUCUUUGUUCUUAUUUUUCUAGUUCUGUUAGGUGUAGUUUAAGAUUACUUAUUUGAUAUUUUUCCUAUUUGUUGAAGUAGGCCUGUAUUGCUAUGCAUUUCCCUCUUAGGACUGCUUUUGCUGCAUCCCAUAUGAGUUAGUAUGGUGUAUUUUCAUUUUCAUUUUCAUUUGUCUCCAGGUAUUUUUUGAUUUCUCCUUUAAUUUCUUCAUUGGUCCAUUGGUUGUUCAGUAGCAUGUUGUUUAGUCUCAACAUAUUUGUGACUUUCCUAGCUUUUUUCUUGUAGUUGACUUCUAGUUUCAUAGCAUUAUGGUUGGAAAAGAUGCUUGAUAUGAUUUCAAUCUUAAAUUUACUGAGACUUGCCUUGUUUGCCAAUAUAUGGUCUAUCCUUGAGAAUGUUCCAUGUGUACUUGAGAAGAAUGUGUAUUCUGCUGUUUUUGGAUGGAAUGUUCUAUGUAUAAAUAAGUCCAUCUAAUUUUUCAUUUAAUUCCACUAUUUCCUUGUUGACUUUCUGUCUGGAUUGUCUAUCCAUUGAUGCACAUGGGGUGUUGAGGUCCCCUACUCUUAUUGUGUUGCUAUUAAUUUCUCCCUUUAGGUCUGUUAAUAGUUCCUUUAUGUAUUUUGGUGCUCCUGAAUUAGGUGCAUAUAUAUUCAUAAGUGUUAUGUCCUCUUGGUGGAAUGUCCCUUUUAUCAUUAUAUACUGCCCCUUUUUGUCUCUCAUUGUCUUUUUUAUCUUGAAGUCUGCUUUGUCUCAUAUAAGUAUGGCAAUGCCAUUAGCUUGGAGUAUCAUCUUCCAUCCCUUCACUCUGAGCCUGUGUUUGUCUUUAGAGCUGAGAUGUGUUUCCUGGAGGCAGCAUGUUGUUGGGUUGUGUUUCUUUUCUUUUUGUUUUUUUUAACAUCAGAAUGCAGAUUUUGCAUGACAAAGCUUCUUUGCUUUUUAAAGCUUGGCACCUGAGCUAACCUCUGUUACCAAUCUUAUUUUUUUCUUUUCUUCUUCUUCUCCCCAAAGCCCCCUAAUACAUAGUUGUAUAUUCUAGUUGUAGGUCCUUCUGGCUCUGCUAUGUGGGGUGCUGGCCCAGCAUGGCCUGAUGAAUGGUACUAGGUCCUCCACACCCAGGAUCCAAAAUGGGGAAAUCCUGGGCUGCUGAAGCAGAGCACAUGAACUUAAUGACUUGGCCAUGGGGCUGGCCCAGGUUUUGUUUCUUAAUCCAUCCAGUCACUUGGUGUAUUUUGAUUGGAGAAUUUAAUCUAUUUACAUUUAGAGUGAUUAUUGAUACUUGAGGGCUUAAUGCUGCCAUUUUAUCUCUUGUUUUCUGGUUGUUCUCUAUUUCCUUUGUUUCUUGUCCCAUGUAUUGCUGACUGCCAUUUCAGUUUGGUGAUUUUCUAUGAUGGUUUCUCAUUAUUUAUCAUUUGUGUGUAUGUUUUUAUUUUUUUGUUUAGGGGUUACUAUGAGAUUUGUAUAAAAGAUCUUAUAGAUGAGAUAGUCCAUUUUCUGAUAGCCUCUUAUCUCCUUAGCCUAAGCAGAUUCCAUCCCUUUCCUCUUCCCCGUCUAAGUUAUUGUUGUCACAACUUAUUCUGUUUUGUGUUGUGAGUUUGUGAUUAAAAUGAAGUGAUUAUAGUUAUUUUGGAUGCUUUCCUUCCCUUUGUCUUUAAUGUUGUAAUUAAAUAUUUGCUACCCUGUUCUGAUAGAGAGCUGCAAUUUUCUGAUUUUGUCUGUCUGUUUAUCUCCUUGCUCAAGGCUUUGUAAACCUUUUUUUUUUUUUUAGGUAUGAGGCCCUUCUUGUUCAUUUCUUGUGGGGGGGUUGUCUUGUGGUGAUGAACUCUCUUAGCUUUUGUUUAUCUGGGAAAGUUUUUAUUUCUCUAUUGUAUCUGAAGGAUGGUUUCACUGGAUAAACUAUUCUUGGCUAAAAGGUUUUGCCUUUCAGUAUUGGAAUAUAUCAUUCCACUCUUUCCUAGCUUGUAAGGUUUCUACUGAGAAAUCACGUGAAAGCCAGUUAGGGAUUCCUUUGUAGGUUGUUUUCUUCUGCCUUGCUGCCCUUGAUAUUUUUUUUUUGUCAUUGACUUUUGCCAGUUUUACAAAUGUAUGCCUUGGAGAAGGUCUUUUGGCAUUGAUGUAAUAUGGAGUUCUAUUGGCUUCAUUUACAUGUAAGUCCAAUUCCUUCUCCAGGUUUGGGAAGUUCUCAGAUAUUAUUUCUUUGAACAAACUCUCUGCCCCUUUCUCCCUUGCUUCUCCCCCUGGAAUACUUACAAUCCUUACAUUGCAUUUCGUAAUUGAGUUGGAUAUUUCUCAGAGAAUUUCUUCAUUUCAUUUCUUAGUUCUCUCUCCUCGUCCACCUGAAGCAUUUCUGUAUUUCUGUCCUCUAAGUUACUAAUUCUGUCCUCCAUGUUAGCUCUGUUUUUUAAGGACUCUAGUUUUUUUUAUCUCAUUCAUUGUGUUCUUCUUCUCCAGCAUUUUUUUUAGAGUUUCAACCUCUUUUGUGAAGAAGUCCUUUUGCUCAUUAUUUUAUUCCUGAAUUCAUUAAACUGUCUUUCUGAGUUUUCUCAUAACUCAUUGAGUUUCUUUAUGAUAACUAUUUAGAUUUCUCUGUCAUUUAGAUUGUAAAUUUCUGUGGCUUCAGGAUUGGUUUUUGGACACAUCAUUUUCCUUCUGGUCUAGAGUAUUAAUGUAUUUCUUCGUGCUGUUUGGGGUGGGACUUUUCCAGCACAUAGUGGUUGUAUCUGGUCACGGAUUCCACCUGCCUCAACUGGGGGAGGGCAGGAGCUGUGUUUUCUGAGCCCACCAUGUCCACUGUCAGUUGUGCUUAUCCAUUGGAAGCUGUGCUGACAGGGCCCCUUCUGUGCUGCCUGCUGGUUGCUGCUGCUUAACACAUGCUGGUGCAGGUGCUCUGGUGGUGAUCUCCCGCCCUGGCCAAGCUGGUGUGCCAGAUGGGAUAGGGGGAGAGGGCACUUUCUUUCCCAUUCAUGCUCCUGCUGUGCACUCACUGAUGACCCACCUGUGCUAUUUUGCUUGGUGGGGGCACCCCUGCAGUGUCACAUGCUGGCUGCCGCUGCAUGAGGUCCUGUGCCCUAGAUCACUCUGUUGGUGAGUGGAAAGAUAUCUGCUUACCUCCUUCCACUGCUUCCUGGGGGAUCUGGUACCCCCACCUUCAGACAUAUGGCUGCGUGGAUCUCUCAGACGUCUUUGUGCCAUGUGGGUGUCCUCUGUUGGUUAAUGAGUGUCCUUUUCCUUUUGAUUAUAUCUUAGUGGGGGAGACUAAGGGCACAGCUCCUUCCACCAUGAUGCUGACAUCACUCCUCUCAAUACAGACUUUUACAAGCAGACAUCAAGUUCUUUACAGGUUUGUCAAUGAGUUCAUUGUUACUACAGAAAUUGUCACAUGCCAAAAUAUACAGUGUCUUCCUUUCUCCCUUUCCUUCCACAAGUAAGUUGACCAGAGUAUGACAGAGAUCAUCUUAAAAAUGUGUACCUUCUCUCCUGCUGGAGUUUACUCAAUGAAGAAAAUCCGAUCUGAGUUCUUGAAAAGCAAAUGACAACAAAACAUCCCAAGCACUUAACAUAACCCUGAGUCUUCAAAAGAAAGGCUUGCACAAUGGGCAGGUAGUGGUCUGGAACCCAUUACAGCUCAGUUCUCCAGGGGAAGCAUAUCUCUUCCUCUGAUGCUUGGAUCUCAAGGCCACACCCCUACUGUUCUCAGAUUCUCAGUAGUUGGGUGGAAGCUGGGAAGUGUAGUGGUUUUUUUUUUCUCUUUGAGUAUUUAAUAAACGGUUAUGUGUUUUAUAAGCCUAAAUGGGGACAAAUCCACGAUGCUGGAGAGUUGGGGCUUGAGAAGUGGCCCAUCUGGGUCCCUGGUAAUGCUUUCUUGCUGAGCAGAUAUGGGACUGAGGCCCAGUGUCACCAUCUAGGCCAUGUGUCACAAGACAGCUUAGGAGUUUUUGAAAAAGAAAAUAAAGCCUCUUCAAAUUAAAUAUCUAAACCUCAGGCUGGGAGGUGACAGCAAAUAUCAAUACAUUGUCAAAGGAAACUUCUAGGAGCUUAAAACUACCUCUAGGACUUUGAUGGGUCAGUCUUUCUAAGAAAGGCCCAAGGCUGCAGGGGAUUAGCUGGCUGACCAUCUGUGAUGCUUCCUGUCAAGCAGAGUGGUGACCUUUGCCCUGGAAGAGGUGAGUCUGCAUCUUUUCUCCUUCCUUGGACUGACUUUCAACCCUGAGAAAGGAUUUCUUCUUGCAUGACCAAGUUCUGCCAAGUCAUAGCAGCCUGGGAAUAAGACAGGAUCACGGUGACGAAAUAGUUUCUCUGGUUCCGCCCCCCACACUCCCUUACUCAUCCAUGCCCAGCACCCCACUUCUCCCCAGGACUUGUUGGGGGAGUUAUGUUCACAGUCCUUCCUGCUCCUGGAAUGGCCCCACCUCUCCAGGCAUCCUGGUCUGCUCUCCAGCAGGUCCAGAAAGCACCUCCUGCCUAUCCUUUCCAUCCCUGGCCUGGGCCUCUCGUCUGUAGAGUCUUGAAAGUGGAGGAGCCCCCUGACCUCUGUGUUCAUUUCUCAGGGCUGCCACAGAUUCCCCAGGGUUUAGGAGGCUGAGAAAGCUCUGGGCACACACCCCUUUCAGGACUCCUCUCCGAAAAUCCCACUGGUUUACUGUCUUCAGAUCUGGCUCCUGGGCCUCCUCCUGUCCUCAGCAGGAAUUAUUUUCUCCUUCAGUUUUGCAAAUAACACCUGGUAGCUGUCUGGGCUGGCUGACGGGAUGAUGCUGGCCACUUUGCUUAGGUACUAAACUGCAUAAAGCAUGGCUGGAUGUGCAAGUCCACUGGUUAGACUUUGACUCAGGUGCCAUUUUUGGCAUUCUUUAGAAUGAUAUUUUCUCUGACAAAAUCCAGACUAUAAUUUAAAGUAGUUCCUAACUGUGAUGAGGACAAAAAGACAAUGAGCUUCCCAAACUAGAAGUAUUCAGAGACUUUUUGAGUUCCUAUAAUAAUAUACCAGCAUCACUUCGACAAUUUUUUUUGCUAAAAAUAUGAUAUUCCACCCCAAAUUUCUUCAGUAUGCAUUGCUUAAAAAAUGAUUUCUUGCUUAACCAUAAUAUAUUUAUCACACAAAGCAAAAUUAAUAAUUCCUUACUAUCAUCAAAUACCAAGUCCACGGGAGUCAAAUUUCCACAUUGUCCCCAAAAUAUACUUUACUCCUGGUUUGUUCAAACUAGGAUUCAGUCGAG
rnacentral:lncRNA from 1 species